CCUACGGGUGGCAGCAGUGAGGAAUAUUGGUCAAUGGACGCAAGUCUGAACCAGCCAUGCCGCGUGCAGGAAGACGGCUCUAUGAGUUGUAAACUGCUUUUGUACGAGGGUAAACGCAGAUACGUGUAUCUGUCUGCAAGUAUCUUACGAAUAAGGAUCGGCUAACUCCGUGCCAGCAGCCGCAGUAAUACGGAGGAUUCGAGCGUUAUCCGGAUUUAUUGGGUUUAAAGGGUGCGUAGGCGGUCGGAUAAGUUAGAUGUGAAAUUCCGAGGCUCAACUUCGAAAUUGCCUCUGAUACUGUUCGGCUAGAGAGUAGUUGCGGUAGGCGGAAUGUAUGGUGUAGCGGUGAAAUGCUUAGAGAUCAUACAGAACACCGAUUGCGAAGGCAGCUUACCAAACUACUUCUGACGUUGAGGCACGAAAGCGUGGGGAGCAAACAGGAUUAGAUACCCCUGUAGUC
rnacentral:rRNA from 1 species